CACGUAGGGUGCGAGCGUUGUCCGGAAUUAUUGGGCGUAAAGAGCUCGUAGGCGGUGUGUCGCGUCGGCCGUGAAAACCUGCAGCUUAACUGUGGGCGUGCGGUCGAUACGGGCAUCACUGGAGUUCGGCAGGGGAGACUGGAAUUCCUGGUGUAGCGGUGAAAUGCGCAGAUAUCGGGAGGAACACCGGUGGCGAAGGCGGUUCUCUGGGCCUUACCUGACGCUGAGGAGCGAAAGCGUGGGGAGCGAACAGG
rnacentral:rRNA from 1 species